rnacentral:rRNA from 1 species
UACGUAGGGGCCUAGCGUUGUCCGGAUUUAUUGGGCGUAAAGAGCUCGUAGGCGGUUUGGUAAGUCAGGUGUGAAAUCUCCACGCUCAACGUGGAGGCGCCACCUGAAACUGCCAUGACUUGAGUCCGGUAGGGGAGUGUGGAAUUCCCGGUGUAGCGGUGAAAUGCGCAGAUAUCGGGAGGAACACCGGUGGCGAAGGCGGCAUUCUGGACCGAUAUUGACGCUGAGGAGCGAAAGCCAGGGGAGCAAACGGG